rnacentral:rRNA from 1 species
UGGGGAAUAUUGCACAAUGGGCGCAAGCCUGAUGCAGCCAUGCCGCGUGUGUGAAGAAGGCCUUCGGGUUGUAAAGCACUUUCAGCGAGGAGGAAGGUGGUGAGCUUAAUACGCUCAUCAAUUGACGUUACUCGCAGAAGAAGCACCGGCUAACUCCGUGCCAGCAGCCGCGGUAAUACGGAGGGUGCAAGCGUUAAUCGGAAUUACUGGGCGUAAAGCGCACGCAGGCGGUUUGUUAAGUCAGAUGUGAAAUCCCGGGGCUCAACCUGGGAACUGCAUUUGAAACUGGCAAGCUAGAGUCUCGUAGAGGGGGGUAGAAUUCCAGGUGUAGCGGUGAAAUGCGUAGAGAUCUGGAGGAAUACCGGUGGCGAAGGCGGCCCCCUGGACGAAGACUGACGCUCAGGUGCGAAAGCGUGGGGAGCAAACAGAUUAGAUACCCUGGUAGUCCACGCUGUAAACGAUGUCGAUUUUGGAGGUUGUGCCCUUGAGGCGUGGCUUCCGGAGCUAACGCGUUAAAGUCGACCGCCUGGGGAG